rnacentral:rRNA from 1 species
CACCGCGGUUAUACGAGAGGCCCGAGUUGAUAAUCCCCGGCGUAAAGAGUGGUUAGGGAGCACAUAAACUAGAGCCGCAUGUCUCCAAAGCUGUUAUACGCACUCGGAGAACAGAAGCCCACCCACGAAGGUGGCUUUAAUAGACCUGACCCCACGAAAGCCAUGACA